CCUCUCUCAGGAUCUCACCUGGAGAGUUCCUAGUACUCUACCAGUCCAGGCCACGGGAGGGAGAGUCAAGCAGAGGCAUGUCCAUUCCAUUCCGAGCUUGGCCAGUGGCUAGUGAGUGGAAGGCAAUCUGCUGCAAGU